GACGAACGCUGGCGGCGUGCUUAACACAUGCAAGUCGACAUUAGUGGCGAACGGGUGAGUAAAUCGUGGGGAAACUGCGCUCCUUUUUGGGGUAAGCCUUGGAAACGGGGUCUAAUACCUGAUAAAGGGGGAGGGGCUCGCGGCUGAUCAGCUUGUUGGUGGGGUGAUGGCCUACCAAGGCGGUGACGGGUAGCCGGCAUGAUAGGGUGAACGGCAACAUAGGGACGGAGCUAAGGCCCAGACGAGUAAGGGGGGAGGAAGUGGGGGAGAUGGCACAAUGCGUGAUCGACUGAUGCAGCGAGUCUGCGUGGGGGCUGAAGGCUUUAGGGUUGUAAACCUUGUUAGCUAUCGAAGGGGUAGGUGGAGAAGAAGCGCCGGCUAACUACGUGCCAGCAGCCGCGGUAAUAC
rnacentral:rRNA from 1 species